UUUAGUUGCUUUAAAAUUAUUUACUUUAUUAUUUAUACUAUCUUCCAGAGCACCAGUGUUUCUUACUAUAUGCUUCUUCACCUUUCCCCAGUAGUAUUCACGGUUUCCAAAAGAUACCAAAUAGCACUUCCUAUCUGUAUUAGUCCAUUCUCACGCUGCUAAUAAAGAUAUAACCGAGACUGGGUAAUUUGUAAAGAAAAGAGGUUAAAUAUAUGUGUUCAUUUGCAUAACCUUUUGUUAGGUUUUCUGUUACAUGCAGCUAAGUUCAUUCCUACAUGUUAAAAUUGCAAAAGGAUAUAACCAAAUUCCUUGAUGUGAUAAAUGAGAGCUUUCAUAAAAUUUUUACUUUUCUUUACCUGGAGUGCUGCUCCUCACGACAUGCAACUCCUGACUUGUAUAGGAAACACACAACUGAUUCUGUCUUCAAAAGCCAAGCCUAAUUUUACAAAUAAUCUUGGAAUUGUCUCAGGAAUGGAUCCCUUUUCAGGAAAUUACAUAA
rnacentral:lncRNA from 1 species